ensembl:rRNA 5S_rRNA 5S ribosomal RNA
GCUUACGGCCAUACCACCCUGAGAACGCCCGAUCUCGGAAGCUAAGCAGGGUCGGGCCUGGUUAGUACUUGGAUGGGAGACCGCCUGGGAAUACCAGGUGCUGUAAGCA